rnacentral:rRNA from 1 species
UACGUAGGGGGCAAGCGUUGUCCGGAAUCAUUGGGCGUAAAGCGCGUGUAGGCGGUCCGGUAAGUCCGCUGUGAAAGUCGGGGGCUCAACCCUCGGAUGCCGGUGGAUACUGUCGGGCUUGAGUACGGAAGAGGCGAGUGGAAUUCCUGGUGUAGCGGUGAAAUGCGCAGAUAUCGGGAGGAACACCAGUUGCGAAGGCAGCUCGCUGGGACGUUACUGACGCUGAGACGCGAAAGCGUGGGGAGCAAACAGG